GCUGCGGCUGGCCUUGAGCUUGUGGUCCUCCUGCCUCAGCCUCCUGAGUCAUUGGGAUUACAUGCCCUGGUUCCCUUUUUAUUUUCAUCUGAUCCAUCUUCAAAAUUCAAUAAACUUUUGGCUUGACUAAUUUUUUUAGAGAGAAUUUUUUAAUAUUUUUAUUUUUUAUUUUAGUUUUCAGUGGACACAAUAUUUUUUUUUAAUGUGGUGCUGAGGAUCGAACCCAGCGCCCUGCGCAUUCCAGGCGAGCACACUACCGCUUGAGCCACAUCCCCAGCCCUUAACUAAUUUUUAUCUUACCAGUUUCACAAACUUUUAGCUUCCCUUUCAUCUUAUCAGUUUUAACUUUUCAACUGAUCAUUUGAUUCACAGUGACUAUUGACAUUUUGCCCAUUGCUCCCUUGUUUCUUAUGCAAGAGGCAACUGCAGACAGCGACCAUCUGAACCAACGUCAACAGGACUCUCUUCUUAGAUCUGCUCCCUAUUAUGAGAGGCCCCAUCACUCUAUCUGCAGAAAUAGUCUCCUUUUUCUUCCACUCCUUGUUGCCUGAGUUUGCACACCGGAAGGAUCUAGCAACACAAAGGUGAGGAGAACAUACCAGAGCAGCUCUGCAGAGAUCAAAGAGAUAUCAUGCAGUGACUCAGCAAAUCCCGGAUGCCAGUAUAAAAACAGAGGGAGGCCCACAAGAAAAGGCUGGGCAGGGAUCUAAUUAAAACUUGGUCAUCAAAAAGUCCAAAUUUC